ensembl:snRNA U1 U1 spliceosomal RNA
AUUCUUAUCUGGAAGGGGAGAUUCUGUAACCUUCAAGGUGAUGCUUAUUCAUUGAUCUCUGCAUGUGCUGACCCCAGUUAUUUUCCUAAAUAUAGGAAAUUAGACUGUACAAUUUUUGGUAGUGGGGAACAGUAUUCAUGCUGUCUCCUU